GUCCACGCCGUAAACGAUGGGCACUAGGUGCCGGGGGGAGCGACCCCUUCGGUGCCGCAGCUAACGCGAUAAGUGCCCCGCCUGGGGAGUACGGCCGCAAGGCUGAAACUCAAAGGAAUUGACGGGGGCCCGCACAAGCGGUGGAGCAUGUGGUUUAAUUCGAAGCAACGCGAAGAACCUUACCUGGGUUUGACAUGCUGGUGAAAGCUCGAUGAAAGUCGAGCCCUUCUUCGGAACACCAGCACAGGUGCUGCAUGGCUGUCGU
rnacentral:rRNA from 1 species